rnacentral:tRNA from 1 species
GCUUUUAUAAUUUAAAUAAAAUAUUGAUCUUGUAAAUCAAAAAUAAGAUAAACUUUAAAAGCU